GACGUAGGGCGCGAGCGUUGUCCGGAUUUAUUGGGCGUAAAGAGCUCGUAGGCGGCUUGUCGCGUCGUUCGUGAAAACCUGGGGCUCAACUCCAGGCUUGCGGGCGAUACGGGCAGGCUAGAGUUCGGUAGGGGAGACUGGAAUUCCUGGUGUAGCGGUGAAAUGCGCAGAUAUCAGGAGGAACACCGAUAGCGAAGGCAGCUCGCUGGGACGGUACUGACGCUAAGGCGCGAAAGCGUGGGGAGCAAACAGG
rnacentral:rRNA from 1 species